UACGUAGGGUGCAAGCGUUAAUCGGAAUUACUGGGCGUAAAGCGUGCGCAGGCGGUCCGUUAAGACAGAUGUGAAAUCCCCGGGCUCAACCUGGGAACUGCGUUUGUGACUGUAUGACUAGAGUACGGUAGAGAGGGGUGGAAUUCCUGGUGUAGCAGUGAAAUGCGUAGAUAUCAGGAGGAACAUCGAUGGCGAAGGCGGCCCCUUGGACCUGUACUGACGCUCAUGCACGAAAGCGUGGGGAGCAAACAGG
rnacentral:rRNA from 1 species